CGCACCCGCCCAGUUCUGUGAUGCCUUGCGCUGCGCAGCAGGAGGAGAGAGGCCCGACUGGGGCUUCUGGUCCACCCGGAGCCAACCCGGAACCGUGACCACUGAAUAGCACCCCUCCGCUCCCAUUGGCGUGUCCAGUUCAAAGGAAAGAGCAGAGCUGCGAGGGUAAGGGUGUCGCCUUCUCUGGAGCCUCCGGGCGAGACCAUAUGUGGCGGCAGAAACCCGGGCCCGGCAGUCCUGCUUCUGCGCCUCAGUGUAGCUGUCCUUCAGUCCCGAGCCUCCACGUGCCAACCUUGCCAACGGUGCCAACCAGAGCUGACUGUGCCCGAGGGGACAGCGCUGGACGGGCUCCACGGGUGCAGCAGAAUUUGCUGACCGCCCAGCCUUCGGACCCCUCCUCUCAGAGGAAGGUGCCCCCAACCCUAGAGGCAAAACCUAGAGCUUGGGAGGGCCGCAGAGACUGCAGCAUCUUCAGGGACCCAUUCUGCUCAUGAGGACAUGGGCACAGAGAGGAGAACACCCUUGCCCCAUAUCUCACGGCUAGUCCUGGGCGGGUCAGUUUUGUUCAGAAUUAUUCCGAACGUCGUGCAGACCCUCCUUGGAGGAAGCCCAUUUAGUCUGAACGUCGAUCACUGCCCUUUGCUCCUGGGAGUGAAGAGAUACCUGCGCCGAGCAAUGAAUGUCAGCUCAGAAUUUACUAACCGUGCCUUAGGAAGAUGUCCCAGAACCUCAGAAACGGAAAACGCUCACGUCUGAAAACGGCUGAGACCAAUAAGCCUCUCGCUAAGGGGUCCGGAGGCGCCAGCCUUCGCCGGACGCAGCCGCGCACGCUGGGGAGGUGCUGGCGCGGCGGUAGCGCGGCGGGUGGAGGAGCGCGGCAGGUGCGAGGGCGUGCGCCCCCUCAGGCGAACAGGCGGGACCAGCGCCCCAGCUCCCCUAGGCAGCGGCGGGGAAUUUCGGGAGUUAUCUGUGCUCUGCCGCGCGGGAGGAGGGGAGCGGCUGCGCGCCCAGGAUCCGAUCCCUCGCGAGCGCGCCGGGGACUCUGUGCGCAGCGCGCCCCGCGCCGCCACCCGCGGGGAUCUCAGCGCGCCUCCCCUCGCGCAGAAACAGCUUUGACCCAGGAGGGUCAGCGAGACCAGGCUCCAGUUAGAGAAACAGAGGGGAGACGGGAAAUCGGGCAAGGUCUGUGUGUCUUUCGCCAAGGUCAAAAGCGGGUCUCUGCUCGGCUGUCCCCAUCCAUCCUGGCCACUCGCGCGCCCGCCUGUCUGCCGCGGUGCACCGCUCCGCGCCGCUCCCUGCUCGUGUGCUGCCGCCCCCGCGGGACCCAUUCCCGGGACACUUCUUCCCGUCCGCUGAGUCCACGCGAGAUCACUGCGAUGCCUCUGCUGUUUCUGACCCAACCCACGCCUUUAGGGCCGUCUCGGAGAGCUGGAGAGAGGCUGAGGCUGGUGUGAGCCCGCCGGUGUAAAUAUUAAAGUGUUUGGCUUCUCCGUAACACCUCUACCAGCGUAUGCCCCAGAGCAGGGCUUUGUUGACUAAAAUAAAUGUCUUAGGAAUGCAUUUUUAGGUACAAAUACAUUGGAUCAAAAAUUAGAUACAAAUACAUUGGAGAUUCCCACCGAGGGAGGCUGAAAAUAUUUCUCUGGGGAAAGAGUAGAGGGCUUUUUGCUUGAUUCUUUAUCCUGCUCUGAAGCAGAGAUCAUCCUGAGAUUCACUGCCUGAAGUGCGAGAGGAAGGGGCUCUUCGCACCUUUUCCCACCAAAAGCACUACAGGGAAGACGUUUGUGAAAGCGUUUGCAGAAGCAAAGGUAAAGAACAGCCUGUGGAUAUAGCUGCACCACUGACCUGGAAGAACUGGCCCCAAAAGGCAGAGAGAGCUGCCACUCCGGUUGCAGGCUCCAGUUGGAAGCUUUGACUGCUUCCUCUAACCAGCUGGGAGACUGACAGCAGGACUGGGGCCAGUAGCUCUCUUCCUUUUGAUGCUACAGGGUUCCCUUAGCAGGGAACUGCAGGAAGACAUCCCUGGCAGUAUACUGGGAGGAAAAGAGAUGCUCUACGCUGGUACACAGGCCUCUGAGCAGAGGGGACCCCGAUCUUUGCACCCAGUCAUCUGUAGCCAGACAACCUAGAGUCAACCCCAACCCUGCCUGUUACUGAUUUAUUGCCAUUGCACCUCAGUUUGCUCAUCUGAAAACAGUGUAGCGAUAGAAUUUAUCGAUAAGGUUUUGCUGAGGAUUACAUGAGUUAAAGUGGCGCAGGGUAGUGCCUGACAUAACACUUCCUCAAUUACCCAUACCCGGCAUACAGUAAGCACUUGAUAUAUGUUAAGUAUUUUUGAAAGACACAACUGCUCACCUAGGAAGGAAUCUCAGGUCUUUUCUUGGAUUCAAACAGAUGCAGAGGCCACCACAAACCAUGGGCAGAAGAUUUGUGGAGAGAGGCUCUAAGUGCUGCUUUGUAGCUUGUCGGGAGGCCUUCCCAGUCUGGACUCUGGAUGUCAAUGUCAACUCUGCUACUUGCUAGCCUAAUCUGUGGGCUAGAAGUCUUAAAUCAGUGUCACUGGACUGAAUUCAGGUGUGGGCAAGGUUAUCCUGCCUCUGCAAGCUCCAGGGAAGAAUUUGGUGUUUCAUCCCUUGCUCCUACUGGCUGCUACCAUUCCUCACUGGCCCCCUGUUGAAACAGCAUGCAGAAACACUGAAAUGACACCCAGGAUUUGGAGGCAGAUUUAUUUAUGCUGAUGGGCACUGGUCAGGAUCACUCCCAGAAUAUCAGGCUCUGAUCUCUGGUGGUCUAGGACUUAUACGGGAUAAGCAGGCAAGAAGUACAGAAGCAGAAUCAACUGACAAUUGGGGAUUGGUCUAUACAAUGUGCAUCACAGUGACCAGAGACAGAAGCAAAUGGAACUGGAACAGGAACUAUUACCUGGGCAACUAAGAAACUGAAGUACACUGGCUGGUGGGGGGUGGGGGGGAUACUUUCUGUUACACUGUAACUGGAAUAGCAUUGCUUUCUGUUUCUGUCUGAGUCAAAUCUUCUUCCACUUCUCCCUUAUAAGGAUACAUGUGAUUACACUGAGUCCACCAGAACAAUCCAGGAUAAUCUUUCUAUCUCAAGAUUUUUCACUGAAUGACAUCUGAAAGGUGCUGCCUCCAAAUAAAUUAACAUUUAUACUCUC